rnacentral:lncRNA from 1 species
GCUAGGAACAUCAUGUAUGUAAAUUACAAAAGAUAACACUCUAUCAGCCAAUUGAUCCCUAAAGAGGUGGACAACUCGACCAGUGUCCCAUCUCCUUUCCUUAGGAAGGAAGAGGUUGUAGACUUGCAUGUUUGCUCCAGUCUUCAUGUUGAUCAUUGUAGGCCACCGUCUUAGAGGAUGGUUUGACAACCAAGAGUCCCCCAUCAUAUUUAUAGAUUGUCCAACCUUAAUCAAUCAUGUUAUGUUGACUAUCACCAUUGAGGCAUGGGUAUAGAUCUCUUUCCAUAUAAAGGAGCUACUAUAGCUAGAUUGGAUUUCCUCUCCUACGGACUACGACCCAUACUUAGCCCUCAUCGUAAAGCUCCAAUUGCUACUC